rnacentral:rRNA from 1 species
GAUGAACGCUGGCGGCGUGCCUAAUACAUGCAAGUCGAGCGAACAGACGGGGAGCUUGCUCCUCUGACGUUAGCGGCGGACGGGUGAGUAACACGUGGAUAACCUACCUAUAAGACUGGGAUAACUUCGGGAAACCGGAGCUAAUACCGGAUAAUAUAUUGAACCGCAUGGUUCAAUAGUGAAAGACGGUUUUGCUGUCACUUAUAGAUGGAUCCGCGCCGCAUUAGCUAGUUGGUAAGGUAACGGCUUACCAAGGCAACGAUGCGUAGCCGACCUGAGAGGGUGAUCGGCCACACUGGAACUGAGACACGGCCCAGACUCCUACGGGAGGCAGCAGUAGGGAAUCUUCCGCAAUGGGCGAAAGCCUGACGGAGCAACGCCGCGUGAGUGAUGAAGGUCUUCGGAUCGUAAAACUCUGUUAUUAGGGAAGAACAAAUGUGUAAGUAACUAUGCACGUCUUGACGGUACCUAAUCAGAAAGCCACGGCUAACUACGUG